rfam:Pyronema omphalodes CBS 100304, CBS100304, WGS project CATG01000000 data, contig: Pcon_v1_contig689
GGUCGUAUGGUGUAGUGGUUAUCACGUUUCCUUUACAAUAGCUGAACGGAAAAGGCCGCAGGUUCAAUCCCUGCUACGAUCA